UUAAGUGAAUAAGGGCGCACGGUGGAUGCCUUGGCACUAGGAGCCGAUGAAGGACGGGACUAACACCGAUAUGCUUUGGGGAGCUGUAAGUAAGCUAUGAUCCAGAGAUUUCCGAAUGGGGGAACCCAAUAUCUUUUAUAGGAUAUUACUUUUCAGUGAAUACAUAGCUGAUUAGAGGUAGACGCAGAGAACUGAAACAUCUUAGUACCUGCAGGAAGAGAAAGAAAAUUCGAUUCCCUGAGUAGCGGCGAGCGAAACGGGAAGAGCCCAAACCAACAAGCUUGCUUGUUGGGGUUGUAGGACUCCAAUAUGGUAGUCUGUUAGUAUAGUUGAAGGAUUUGGAAAAUUCCGCUAAAGAGGGUGAAAGCCCCGUAGACGAAAUGCUGACAACACCUAGGAGGAUCCUGAGUACGGCGGAACACGAGAAAUUCCGUCGGAAUCCGCGGGGACCAUCCCGCAAGGCUAAAUACUCCCUAGUGACCGAUAGUGAACCAGUACCGUGAGGGAAAGGUGAAAAGCACCCCGGAAGGGGAGUGAAAUAGAUCCUGAAACCGUGUGCCUACAACAAGUCAAAGCUCGUUAAUGAGUGAUGGCGUGCCUUUUGUAGAAUGAACCGGCGAGUUACGAUUGCAUGCGAGGUUAAGUCGAAGAGACGGAGCCGCAGCGAAAGCGAGUCUGAAUAGGGCGAAUGAGUAUGUAGUCGUAGACCCGAAACCAUGUGAUCUACCCAUGUCCAGGUUGAAGGUGCGGUAAAACGCACUGGAGGACCGAACCCACGUACGUUGAAAAGUGCGGGGAUGAGGUGUGGGUAGCGGAGAAAUUCCAAACGAACUUGGAGAUAGCUGGUUCUCUCCGAAAUAGCUUUAGGGCUAGCCUCGGAAUUGAGAAUGAUGGAGGUAGAGCACUGUUUGGACUAGGGGCCCAUCUCGGGUUACCGAAUUCAGAUAAACUCCGAAUGCCAUUCAUUUAUAUCCGGGAGUCAGACUGCGAGUGAUAAGAUCCGUAGUCGAAAGGGAAACAGCCCAGACCACCAGCUAAGGUCCCAAAAUAUAUGUUAAGUGGAAAAGGAUGUGGGGUUGCACAGACAACUAGGAUGUUGGCUUAGAAGCAGCCACCAUUUAAAGAGUGCGUAAUAGCUCACUAGUCGAGUGACCCUGCGCCGAAAAUGUACCGGGGCUAAACAUAUUACCGAAGCUGUGGACUACACCAUUAGGUGUAGUGGUAGGAGAGCGUUCUAAGGGCGUUGAAGGUCGAUCGUGAGGACGGCUGGAGCGCUUAGAAGUGAGAAUGCCGGUAUGAGUAGCGAAAGACAGGUGAGAAUCCUGUCCACCGUAUGACUAAGGUUUCCUGGGGAAGGCUCGUCCGCCCAGGGUUAGUCGGGACCUAAGCUGAGGCCGAUAGGCGUAGGCGAUGGACAACAGGUUGAUAUUCCUGUACCAGUUGUUUUUGUUUGAGCAAUGGAGGGACGCAGUAGGCUAAGGAAUGCAUGCGAUUGGAAGUGCAUGUCCAAGCAAUGAGUCUUGAGUAGAGUUAAAUGCUUUACUCUUUAAGGACAAGUUGUGACGGGGAGCGAAAUAAUAGUAGCGAAGUUCCUGAUGUCACACUGCCAAGAAAAGCUUCUAGUGAGAAAACAACUGCCCGUACCGUAAACCGACACAGGUAGUCGAGGAGAGUAUCCUAAGGUGAGCGAGCGAACUCUCGUUAAGGAACUCGGCAAAAUGACCCCGUAACUUCGGGAGAAGGGGUGCUGACUUCGGUCAGCCGCAGUGAAUAGGCCCAAGCGACUGUUUAUCAAAAACACAGGUCUCUGCAAAAUCGUAAGAUGAAGUAUAGGGGCUGACGCCUGCCCGGUGCUGGAAGGUUAAGAGGAUGGGUUAGCUUCGGCGAAGCUCAGAAUUGAAGCCCCAGUAAACGGCGGCCGUAACUAUAACGGUCCUAAGGUAGCGAAAUUCCUUGUCGGGU
rnacentral:rRNA from 1 species